rnacentral:tRNA from 1 species
GGUGACUAUGGCUCAGUGGUAGAGCGCUUGCCUAGCAUAUAUGAGGCACUGGAUCAAUUCCGGCACCA